CACAGAGCCCUGGAGCCUUGCUGCAGCAAGCCUCCAGCUCGCGGUCUCUCCCUCAGGACCAAGAGACGUUGGUGUGCAGGAGAUUCUGUGCAUGUGUUUUUCAUUCCCUAGUGGAUUUGUUUCAAAGACAUUGUCAUCUGUGUAGAAGCCAGUUUCAAUCUCUGGCUUCUACCCCUUGCCCUGCUGGCAGGGCAUUGAGCGGCACCCGUUGCCGGCCACCUGGGUGCAGAGAUCGAGGACGGUGAAGGGAGGAGCAACCCUGAGCAUCUGCCAUCCAGCUCCAUCCAAUCUAGAGCAAUUCCAGGAUGGAGCGAAUCAGGCGGAUGCUCAGGAGGAAGGCCGGGCAGGUGGCUCCAGAGCCGGCAGCAAACAUCCGCCAGCCUGCCCAGGAGGAGAGCGGCCCCUCUGUCCCCGCGGGCGGGGAAGAGGCUCGUGGCCAGGGGAAAGGGAGGAGCUGCGUCGCCUGCUGGAGGAGGAGGAAGACAGCAGCUCCCCUAGCUGAACCUGCGGCACCUUCUGGGCAGAAAUGGAGGUGGCCCCGGGUUCAGCUGUGGAGGAGAGAGCCAGGGGGGCAGGAGCCGGGCAAUGCAGCUCGGGGGAUUCCUUUGCAGGAAGCCAAGGAGCCAGGAGCUGCGUCCCAGGGCCCAGCAGGAGCCGCCAACCACCCUGGCCCCAGAGGGGCCUCCCGCCAGCCCCACCCUGGCACCUGUGGCGCCUCCUCCCAGCCCAGAGCAGGAGUUGAGCAACUGCGGGACAAACACCAGCAGCUCUGUAUUCUCCUGCGGGGCCAGCAGCUCCUCCGUGGGGUUUGGCAGCCCUGUGUUGCUAGGCUCCCUCUUUGGAGACACCCCCAGUGCCCAGGUGCCGUGGCCUGAGGAGGAGGAGCAGGAGGAGGAGGAGGA